rnacentral:rRNA from 1 species
AUUGAACGCUGGCGGCAUGCCUUACACAUGCAAGUCGAACGGCAGCGCGGACUUCGGUCUGGCGGCGAGUGGCGAACGGGUGAGUAAUACAUCGGAACGUACCCUGUUGUGGGGGAUAACUAGUCGAAAGAUUAGCUAAUACCGCAUACGACCUGAGGGUGAAAGUGGGGGACCGCAAGGCCUCACGCAGCAGGAGCGGCCGAUGUCUGAUUAGCUAGUUGGUGGGGUAAAGGCCCACCAAGGCGACGAUCAGUAGCUGGUCUGAGAGGACGAUCAGCCACACUGGGACUGAGACACGGCCCAGACGCCUACGGGAGGCAGCAGUGGGGAAUUUUGGACAAUGGGGGCAACCCUGAUCCAGCAAUGCCGCGUGUGUGAAGAAGGCCUUCGGGUUGUAAAGCACUUUUGUCCGGAAAGAAAUCGCGCUGGUUAAUACCUGGCGUGGAUGACGGUACCGGAAGAAUAAGCACCGGCUAACUACGUGCCAGCAGCCGCCGUAA